rnacentral:rRNA from 1 species
CGAAAGCGCGGGGAGCAAACAGGAUUAGAUACCCUGGUAGUCCACGCCCUAAACGAUGUCAACUAGGUGUUGGGGAAGCGAUUUCUCAGUACCGCAGCUAACGCGUGAAGUUGACCGCCUGGGGAGUACGGUCGCAAGAUUAAAACUCAAAGGAAUUGACGGGGACCCGCACAAGCGGUGGAUGAUGUGGAUUAAUUCGAUGCAACGCGAAUAACCUUACCUACCCUUGACAUGUACGGAAGCCCUCAGAGAUGGGGGCGUGCCCGAAAGGGAGCCGUAACACAGGUGCUGCAUGGCUGUCGUCAGCUCGUGUCGUGAGAUGUUGGGUUAAGUCCCGCAACGAGCGCAACCCUUGUCCCUAGUUGCUACGCAAGGGCACUCUAGGGAGACUGCCGGUGACAAACCGGAGGAAGGUGGGGAUGACGUCAAGUCCUCAUGGCCCUUAUGGGUAGGGCUUCACACGUCAUACAAUGGCCGGUACAGAGGGUUGCCAAAGCGCGAGCUGGAGCCAAUCCCAGAAAGCCGGUCGUAGUCCGGAUUGCAGUCUGCAACUCGACUGCAUGAAGUCGGAAUCGCUAGUAAUCGCGGAUCAGCAUGUCGCGGUGAAUACGUUCCCGGGUCUUGUACACACCGCCCGUCACACCAUGGGAGCGGGAUGUACCAGAAGUAGGUAGGCUAACCGCAAGGGGGCCGCUUACCACGGUGCGUUUCGUGACUGGGGUGAAGUCGUAACAAGGUAGCCGUA